rnacentral:misc_RNA from 1 species
CAACCCUCGAGCCCGACUCUUCGGAGGACGGCCCGGUGUUGGGGACCGGCAGACUGCCCCGCGCCUCCGGGCGUGGGACGCCGCCCCCGAAAUUUAGUGGCGGCCCUUCGAGGCGACCUCUGCGUAGUAACUUACCUCGCACUGGGAAAAUCGAAGCGGCCACGCCGUAAAACACCCAACUAUUUUAAGG